rnacentral:rRNA from 1 species
CCUACGGGUGGCAGCAGUAGGGAAUAUUGCUCAAUGGGGGAAACCCUGAAGCAGCAAAGCCGCGUGGAGGAUGAAGGUUUUAGGGUUGUAAACUCCUUUUGAUAGGGAAGAUAAUGACGGUAUCUAACGAAUAAUCACCGGCUAACUCCGUGCCAGCAGCCGCGGUAAUACGGAGGGGGCAAGCGUUACUCGGAAUCACUGGGCGUAAGGAGCGCGUAGGCGGGAUAGCAAGUCAGAUGUGAAAUUCUAGGGCUUAACCAUAGAACUGCCUUUGAAACUGGUAUUCUAGAGUAUGUGUGAGGUAGGUGGAAUUCUUGGUGUAGGGGUAAAAUCCGUAGAUAUCAAGCGGAA